GACGAACGCUGGCGGCGUGCUUAACACAUGCAAGUCGAACGGGAAGGCCCUGCUUUUGUGGGGUGCUCGAGUGGCGAACGGGUGAGUAACACGUGAGUAACCUGUCCUUGACUUUGGGAUAACUUCAUGAAACUGGGGCUAAUACCGGAUAGGAGCUACUGCUGCAUGGUGGGGGUUGGAAAGUUUAGGCGGUUGGGGAUGGAAUCGCGGCGUAUCAGCUUGGUGGGGGGGUAGUGGAUUACCAAGGCUUUGACAGGUAGCAGGCCUGCGAGGGUGACAGGCCCCAUCGGAAUGGGGAUGCGACCCAGACCCCUACGGGAGGCAGGGCAGGAGAAGAUUGCACAAUGGGCGGAGGCCUGAUGCAGCACCGCCGCGCGGGGGGUGAGGUGCUGCGGUUUGUAUAGCACAUUCGCCUGUGACGAAGCGUGAGUGACAGUAAUGGGUAAAGAAGCACCGGCUAACUACGUG
rnacentral:rRNA from 1 species